UAAAGCGAAUUUGCUCAUUUACGCUGAGAUUUACCUAUUUAGGCGCUUUAU
rnacentral:tRNA from 6 species